GAUGAACGCUGGCGGCGUGCCUAAUACAUGCCAGUCGAGCGAACAGAUGAGGAGCUUGCUCCUCUGACGUUAGCGGCGGACGGGUGAGUAACACGUGGAUAACCUACCUAUAAGACUGGGAUAACUUCGGGAAACCGGAGCUAAUACCGGAUAAUAUAUUGAACCGCAUGGUUCAAUAGUGAAAGACGGUUUUGCUGUCACUUAUAGAUGGAUCCGCGCCGCAUUAGCUAGUUGGUAAGGUAACGGCUUACCAAGGCAACGAUGCGUAGCCGACCUGAGAGGGUGAUAGGCCACACUGGAACUGAGACACGGUCCAGACUCCUACGGGAGGCAGCAGUAGGGAAUCUUCCGCAAUGGGCGAAAGCCUGACGGAGCAACGCCGCGUGAGUGAUGAAGGUCUUCGGAUCGUAAAACUCUGUUAUUAGGGAAGAACAAAUGCGUAAGUAACUAUGCACGUCUUGACGGUACCUAAUCAGAAAGCCACGGCUAACUACGUG
rnacentral:rRNA from 1 species